CGGGGAGGUAGUGACGAAAAAUAACGAUACGGGACUCAUCCGAGGCCCCGUAAUCGGAAUGAGUACACUUUAAAUCCUUUAACGAGGACCAAUUGGAGGGCAAGUCUGGUGCCAGCAGCCGCGGUAAUUCCAGCUCCAAUAGCGUAUAUUAAAGUUGUUGCGGUUAAAAAGCUCGUAGUUGAAUCUGUGUGUCACAGUGUCGGUUCACCGCUCGCGGUGUUUAACUGGCAUUAUGUGGUACGUCCUACCGGUGGGCUUAGCUCCUCGCGGGGCGGUCCAACUAAUAUCCCAUCGCGGUGCUCUUCACUGAGUGUCGAGGUGGGCCGGUACGUUUACUUUGAACAAAUUAGAGUGCUCAAAGCAGGCUACCUUCGCCUGAAUAUUGUGUGCAUGGAAUAAUGGAAUAGGACCUCGGUUCUAUUUUGUUGGUUUUCGGAACCCCGAGGUAAUGAUUAAUAGGGACAGAUGGGGGCAUUCGUAUUGCGACGUUAGAGGUGAAAUUCUUGGAUCGUCGCAAGACGGACAGAAGCGAAAGCAUUUGCCAAAAAUGUUUUCAUUAAUCAAGAACGAAAGUUAGAGGUUCGAAGGCGAUCAGAUACCGCCCUAGUUCUAACCAUAAACGAUGCCAGCUAGCGAUCCGCCGAAGUUCCUCCGAUGACUCGGCGGGCAGCUUCCGGGAAACCAAAGCUUUUGGGUUCCGGGGGAAGUAUGGUUGCAAAGCUGAAACUUAAAGGAAUUGACGGAAGGGCACCACCAGGAGUGGAGCCUGCGGCUUAAUUUGACUC
rnacentral:rRNA from 1 species